UCAAACGUAAAAGAUAUUUGAGCAAAGCAAUUGGUAAGUUCCCCAUUAUUUUGCAGGUGGGCAAGUGAAAAACUAAUCUAACAGAAUAGAAAUUUGAGCAGGAGUAAUAGGUAUAUAAAAAAGCAAAGCGUUAUUCAAACAGAAAAGAUAUUAGAGUAAAGCAAUUGGUGGUACUUUUUAGUAUCUAUAAUGGAAGACGAGGAGUUAAAUCUUAAAAUGUUGUUGAACUGUGGCAUAUUCAUGACCAUCAUAGAGUCUAGAAAAAACAAAAUAAGACGCAGGAGACCCUGUCAUUGGAUGAGCCCUUAUCUCAAGGCAAGGAAUGAGAAGGAGAGGUUUUUCAGCGACUUCAAAAACUUACGGAAUGAUCCAACUCGUUUCAUCGAAAAUUCUCGUAUGCCACCAACUGUAUUUGAUGAGCUUUGAGAAUACUGAAACCACAUCUGCUUUCAAAGCGGUAUACUAGACCAAACGAUUUCAUUCCUACUAAAGCUAAGUUAGCAAUCGAACAACAAUGGAAUUUUCCGAACUGCGUCGGGGCUAUCGAUGGCAAACACAUAGCUUUCAAAGCCCUCCCAAARUCUGGAAGCAUUUUGUAUAAUUACAAAGUAAGUGAAUACGUACAUAUACAUGUAUGUGGAUUAUAAUACCCUCGUGCGGUAGUUAAUAAUUUUUAUUAAUAUGCUUUUAU